GCGAGUCGAGAGGGUUCGGCCCUCGGCAGACUGCUCAGUAACACGUGGAUAACCUACCCUUAGGUGGAGGAUAAUCUCGGGAAACUGAGAAUAAUACUCCAUAGAUCUAGGAUGCUGGAAUGCACCUAGAUUGAAAGCUCUGGCGCCUAAGGAUGGGUCUGCGGACUAUCAGGUUGUAGUCAGGGUAAAGACCUGACUAGCCUACGACGGAUAUGGGUUGUGAGAGCAAUAGCCCAGAGACGAUAUCUGAGACACGAUAUCGGGCCCUACGGGGCGCAGCAGGCGCGAAAUCUUCACAAUGUGCGAAAGCACGAUGAGGGGAUCCCAAGUGCUGGCACGUAAGUGUCAGCUGUUUCUUUGUCUAAAAAACAAAGAGAGUAAGAGCUGGGUAAGACGGGUGCCAGCCGCCGCGGUAAUACCUGCAGCUCAAGUGGUGGCCGCUAUUAUUGGGCCUAAAACGUCCGUAGCCGGUUUAGUAAAUGCUUGGGUAAAUUGUGUAGCUUAACUAUACGAAUACCGGGUAGACUGCUAAACUUGGGACCGGGAGAGGCUAGAGGUACUCCUAGGGUAGAGGUGAAAUUCUGUAAUCCUAGGGGGACCACCAGUGGCGAAGGCGUCUAGCUAGAACGGGUCUGACGGUGAGGGACGAAGCCCUGGGGCGCAAACCGGAUUAGAUACCCGGGUAGUCCAGGGUGUAAACGCUGCUUGCUUGAUGUUAGUUGGGCUCCGAGCCCAACUAGUGUC
rnacentral:rRNA from 1 species